rnacentral:lncRNA from 1 species
AUUUUUAUUGUGGACUAGAUUUGUCAAACACUACCAAGUGAAAGCAUAUACAUAAAUAAAAUUAGUUCGCUCUGCUUCCUCCAUAAGCAAAGAUAAUGUCAAUAAUCUACUUUGAUUUCUUUAGAAAUUGUGAUGGUGUCAAAAAUCCGCUUUGCUUUCUCUACAAGUCGUGAUAGUGUCCCUAAUUUCUUUAAUUCCUAAUCAUAAAACCCAAAGAUUUUUCAGCACCAACACUAACAGCACAUUUCUUCGUAUGGAACUUUAUAUUGUACUCUCAAGAAACUUAAACACCUCUUGGGGAUCGCAAAUGUGUUGUUUUAGGGAGACACUCUUGACCAACAUAUUUUACACAUACACUUGUUAGAAAAUAUAGACAUCAUAUAUGUAGAAGGCCCAUUUCGCCCGGUCUCAUACCAAAAACAAAAAACAAAAAUUAAAUUAAAUCAACAGUCCAUUUACAAUUCAUUUAACCCAAAAAUAAAAGCCCAAACAUUAAACCUAAUGUAGGCCCGAAUUAAAACUAAAUAAACUCUAACCCAAAAUUCCAGCCCAAAAUUAAAAAAAAAAAUCUCAGCAAACCCUAGCUAGACCAGCGUCGCAGGACCUUCACGCGCGCCACCACCUCCGUUCCUCCAGUUGGCUCCUUCUAUACCUGCAACAAACUAACAAGCCACAACAGAUUGACAACAAAUAAUAAAAAGAUAUAAGGAAAAUUUUCUUUUAUUUUCUUUUUUAUUUUUAUUUUUCUCUUUAUUCGGCUAUAAAAGAAAACCGAAUGUAAUUUGUAAAGCUCUCUAGAUUUUUUGAAUACAAAGAAAAGAAGAAAUAUACUCAGAAACAGAAAAGGUGAUUCAUUCAUUGAUUCGUAGUUCUUAUUUUUUCUUUUAUCUUUUGUUUUAUUUUGAGUCUAACUUACAAAUAUACAAAAAAAGAAGAAAAGUUUUCUUACCCGUUUUUGGGUGUCGACCCAGUCGAUGGCCGCUCCUCCGAUCUAAAGGUAAACGGAUCCAUGGGGAUCCGGUUAAAUCCGCGAAGGGGAUGGAGGCUUAGUAUGCGAUGAAGCCCAUAGGUUGAUCGAGAGGGGAGGGAAUGUUAAGGGAAUUUUGAGAAAAAAGGUUUUGAAACUUUUUUUGAGAGAAUAAUCGGCCAAAUGAAUUUUUAGGGCAAAUUUUUGGUUUAUAUAUAUGAUUAAAACGGCGUCGUUUUAAGCCGUGAGUGUUGGCGUUGAAACGGCGUCGUUUCAUGGCACAACCCGAUGACCCGACUCGGAUUCUCUUAGGAUCCGCGCCUCUCAUAGGGAGGGGAUAAUUGUGCGCGCGGUCCUUCUUCAUUUCUGUUAUGUUUAAUACAGUUUUUUCUUUGUUUUUAAUUUUCCCCUUAAUUUCAAUUUUGUUCUGAUUUGGUCCCCAAAGGAACAACACCGUUUUGGGGCGAGGGAUAAUUUCCUAUUCAACCCUCAUGGUUUUGCGCGCGUUUCACUCCAGCCCUGCAUUCUUUUUGUUGUUUAAAUCGCG